UACAGAGGCCUCGAGCGUUAGGCGGAAUCACUGGGCUUAAAGCGCGUGUAGGCGGAUCGUUAAGUGUCUUGUGAAAUCCCACGGCUCAACCGUGGAACUGCUGGGCAUACUGGCGAUCUUGGGCCACUCAGGGGCGACCGGAACAAGCGGUGGAGCGGUGAAAUGCGUAGAUAUCGCUUGGAACGCCAAAGGGUGAAGACAGGUCGCUGGGGGUGUGCCGACGCGUGAGAACGGCGAAAGCCAGGGGAGCAAACGGG
rnacentral:rRNA from 1 species